AGACUUCAUUAACCACCAGCUAGAGGAGAAGCUUCCUGCUUGAGUAAUGUCUUUUUUCCUUAGGUAUCAGUAGAAGGAGGGAAUGUAGAAAAGAGUGGGGUGAAAUGAAGGCUAUGAAGCUGAUGUUUCAAACCGAGUUGGCAUCUUAAUGGAAAGUGAAGGUAACACAGAAAAGACAAGAGCAGGUAAAAGACAAGGAGAAUGAGCCAACCCGGCAGUGAUUUCCCAUUUCCCUAAAGAAAGGAGCUGAGCCGCUUGGCUUCCGUUAGUCCUGAGAGCCAGAUUUAGAGAUGAAGACACCCUGCUUACCUGGAACAUCUCCUUAUGCAUAUGUCCAAUCAUCUGGAGUCCUCCAGCUGCCAUUACCCGGGGAGGAAGAUUGGAAGGCCCAGGUCCCAACAACAGCUUGUCUGGAAUCACAAAAGGUUUCAGCAGUGACGGGGGAGGAGACACUAGCAGCUUCUGAGAUGACAUGGCCCGGCAGCACUGAGGGAUGAGCCUGGGCAGGCGAGCGGGAGGCCAAACGGCUGCUCC